GACGAACGCUGGCGGCGUGCCUAAUACAUGCAAGUUGAGCGAUGAAGAUUGGUGCUUGCACCAAUUUGAAGAGCAGCGAACGGGUGAGUAACGCGUGGGGAAUCUGCCUUUGAGCGGGGGACAACAUUUGGAAACGAAUGCUAAUACCGCAUAACAACUUUAAACAUAAGUUUUAAGUUUGAAAGAUGCAAUUGCAUCACUCAAAGAUGAUCCCGCGUUGUAUUAGCUAGUUGGUGAGGUAAAGGCUCACCAAGGCGAUGAUACAUAGCCGACCUGAGAGGGUGAUCGGCCACAUUGGGACGGAGACACGGCCCAAACUCCUACGGGAGGCAGCAGUAGGGAAUCUUCGGCAAUGGACGAAAGUCUGACCGAGCAACGCCGCGUGAGUGAAGAAGGGUUUCGGAUCGUAAAACUCUGUUGGUAGAGAAGAACGUUGGUGAGAGUGGAAAGCUCAUCAAGUGACGGUAACUACCCAGAAAGGGACGGCUAACUACGUG
rnacentral:rRNA from 1 species